UGCUUACAAGGUGAUAGCUGAGGGGAGU
rnacentral:piRNA from 2 species